rnacentral:snRNA from 1 species
UGGGUUUUUGAAUCAACAUU